AGAAAAAUGGAGCUGAGCAUCUCUUUACAGGAAAAAGAGACUGAAACCGCACCCAUUUCUGUCUCCUGUACACCACUCUACAGCUACUGCUCCUGCAUGUAGCCUUCUCCGCUGCUAAAUAAUUCCUGUUCUUCCUCGAUGUGAAAUCCUGCCUCCACUGAAGUCAAUGAAAAUCUUGACAUCAACUUCAACAAGGUCAGGACUUCUCCC
rnacentral:lncRNA from 1 species